GAUGAACGCUGGCGGCGUGCUUAACACAUGCAAGUCGAACGGAAAGGCCCAAGCUUGCUUGGGUACUCGAGUGGCGAACGGGUGAGUAACACGUGGGUGAUCUGCCCUGCACUUCGGGAUAAGCCUGGGAAACUGGGUCUAAUACCGGAUAGGACCACUUCUUGGAUGUUGUGGUGGAAAGUUUUUUCGGUGUGGGAUGAGCUCGCGGCCUAUCAGCUUGUUGGUGGGGUAAUGGCCUACCAAGGCGUCGACGGGUAGCCGGCCUGAGAGGGUGUACGGCCACAUUGGGACUGAGGUACGGCCCAGACUCCUACGGGAGGCAGCAGGGGGGAAUAUUGCACAAGGGGCGCAAGCCUGAUGCAGCGACGCCGCGGGGGGGAUGACGGCCUUCGGGUUGGAAACUCCUUUCGCUAGGGACGAAGCGUUUUGUGACGGUACCUGGAGAAGAAGCACCGGCUAACUACGUG
rnacentral:rRNA from 1 species